UACAAAACUACCAGUUAGAAGAAGCCGCAUGGAAAGGCGGCGCCAUAGUGGGUGAUAGCCCCGUAUUCGAAAACUGUGUGGACUCUCUUGACGGUUCCUGAGUACCGCGGGACACGUGAAAUCCUGCGGGAAUCCGGGAGGACCAUCUCCCAAGGCUAAGUACUACUCAGUGACCGAUAGUGAACGAGUACCGUGAGGGAAAGGUGAAA
rnacentral:rRNA from 1 species